rnacentral:rRNA from 1 species
AUGAAGCCCUGCAACUCUUCCUUUGCAAUAACAGAAUUAGUCCUCAAGUAUGUGAAGAAAGGGUGGGAAGAUCAGAUAAAAGACGUUGGCAGUUACUGGAAGUUCAAUGACCGCAGGGGGCAAUGGACUCUUGAGGCUAACAAGUGCGACCAAGACCUGGGUUGGAGCUUAAGGAGUCCGUUUGACGAGAGCAUCCUUCUCUGGCACAUCGCCACGGAUUUCUGCUUCUACCACUUGGGCGCAUCAGCAGAUCACCAAUGUGCCACUGCUCAGUGUAUUGAAGAUGCAUCAGGUGAAGGCCAUGGUUGUGCUGUUUGGUGUGAAAGAUCUCAUCAUCAUGGUAGAGCCAUCCGGUGCCGGGAGAUGUCCAACUACUUGAUGUACCUACUAUUUGUUAACCCUGAGAUGCUACUGUCGGGUUCUAGGCGGGAUCUGCUCAUCACCACACCACUAAUGCCGAACUGGAGGAGAUUCUCAAGGAUGAUGAUCCAUCGCUCGAGAAGAUCCUCAAGGGUGACGAGCCUUCACUCAUGGAGAUCCUCGGGUGCAAUAAGCCAUUUCUGA